AUUGAACGCUGGCGGCAGGCUUAACACAUGCAAGUCGAGCGAGAGGCGGACGGGUGAGUAAUUUCUUGGAAACUGCCUGAUGUAGGGGGAUAACUACUGUAAACGGUAGCUAAUACCGCAUACCAUCAUCUGUGCCCAGAUGGGAUUAGCUAGUAGGUGGGGUAAUGGCUCACCUAGGCGACGAUCCCUAGCUGGUCUGAGAGGAUGACCAGCCACACUGGAACGGAGACACGGUCCAGACUCCGACGGGAGGCAGCAGUGGGGAAUAUUGCACAAUGGGCGCAAGCCUGAUGCAGCCAUGCCGCGUGUGUGAAGAAGGCCUUCGGGUGGUAAAGCACUUUCAGUGAGGAGGCGUUACUCGCAGAAGAAGCACCGGCUAACUCCGUGCCAGCCGCCGCGGUAAUUC
rnacentral:rRNA from 1 species